rnacentral:rRNA from 1 species
AUUGAACGCUGGCGGCAGGCCUAACACAUGCAAGUCGAGCGAGUGGCGGACGGGUGAGUAAUGUCUGGGAAACUGCCCGAUGGAGGGGGAUAACUACUGGAAACGGUAGCUAAUACCGCAUACCAUCGGAUGUGCCCAGAUGGGAUUAGCUAGUAGGUGGGGUAACGGCUCACCUAGGCGACGAUCCCUAGCUGGUCUGAGAGGAUGACCAGCCACACUGGAACUGAGACACGGUCCAGACUCCUACGGGAGGCAGCAGUGGGGAAUAUUGCACAAUGGGCGCAAGCCUGAUGCAGCCAUGCCGCGUGUAUGAAGAAGGCCUUCGGGUUGUAAAGUUCUUUUAGCGGGGAGGCGUUACCCAAAGAAAAAGCACCGGCUAACUCCGUGCCAGCAGCCGCGGUAAUAC